AGUAACGCGUGAGUAACCUGCCUCUAAGAGGGGGAUAAAAUUCUGAAAAGAAUGCUAAUACCGCAUAACAUAUAUUUAUCGCAUGGUAGAUAUAUCAAAGAUUUAUCGCUUAGAGAUGGACUCGCGUCCGAUUAGUUAGUUGGUGAGGUAACGGCUCACCAAGACCGCGAUCGGUAGCCGGACUGAGAGGUUGAACGGCCACAUUGGGACUGAGACACGGCCCAG
rnacentral:rRNA from 1 species